rfam:Lodderomyces elongisporus NRRL YB-4239 supercont1.5 genomic scaffold, whole genome shotgun sequence.
UCCUUUGUAGUGUAAUGGCUAUCACGGUUCGCUUUCACCGAGCAGAUCGGGGUUCGAUUCCCCGCAAGGGAG